CCUACGGGUGGCAGCAGUGAGGAAUAUUGGUCAAUGGACGAAAGUCUGAACCAGCCAAGUAGCGUGAAGGAUGACGGCCCUCCGGGUUGUAAACUUCUUUUAUAAGGGAAUAAAACGAGGCACGUGUGCCUUUUUGCAUGUACUUUAUGAAUAAGGGUAGGCUAAAUCCGUGCAAGCGGCCGCGGUAAUACGGAGGAUCCGAGGGUUAUCCGGAUUUUUUGGGUUUAAAGGGAGCGUAGAUGGGUUGUUAAGUCAGUUGUGAAAGUUUGCGGCUCAACCGUAAAAUUGCAAUUGAUACUGGCAGUCUUGAGUACAGUUGAGGUAGGCGGAAUUCGUGGUGUAGCGGUGAAAUGCUUAGAUAUCACGAAGAACCCCGAUUGCGAAGGCAGCUUACUAAACUGUGACUGACGUUGAUGCUCGAAAGUGUGGGUAUCAAACAGGAUUAGAUACCCGUGUAGUC
rnacentral:rRNA from 1 species